rnacentral:rRNA from 1 species
AUUGAACGCUGGCGGCAUGCUUUACACAUGCAAGUCGAACGGUAACAGGCCGCAAGGUGCUGACGAGUGGCGAACGGGUGAGUAAUGCAUCGGAACAUGCCCAGUCGUGGGGGAUAACGCAGCGAAAGCUGCGCUAAUACCGCAUACGAUCUGUGGAUGAAAGCGGGGACCGAAAGGCCUCGCGCGAUUGGAGCGGCCGAUGUCAGAUUAGGUAGUUGGGGGGGUAAAGGCCCACCAAGCCAACGAUCUGUAGCUGGUCUGAGAGGACGACCAGCCACACUGGGACUGAGACACGGCCCAGACUCCUACGGGAGGCAGCAGUGGGGAAUUUUGGACAAUGGGCGCAAGCCUGAUCCAGCAAUGCCGCGUGCAGGAAGAAGGCCUUCGGGUUGUAAACUGCUUUUGUACGGAACGAAACGGCUCUGGUUAAUACCUGGGGCUAAUGACGGUACCGUAAGAAUAAGCACCGGCUAACUACGUGCCAGCAGCCGCGGUAACAC